GACAUGGAGGUUUUAUUCUAUCUCAGGACCCUGUCUGGAGAGUGCAUAUAAACUUGGACAUUUCUUCCUCUGAUGCCCACUGUCCGUGAGGAAGGGAGAUGUCUCUGGGGCUGUGAAGAUGCUUGUGAUGAUGUCACUCACGGAUGCUCCUGUUGGGUGACAUCUCUAAACACCGAGUUCUUCUUGUUCCACUUGGUGUGUAGGUGUUAUUAGUGACACUCUUCUGAGUUACAGCAAA
rnacentral:lncRNA from 1 species